UACGUAGGGGGCGAGCGUUGUCCGGAUUUAUUGGGCGUAAAGAGCUCGUAGGCGGCUUGGCAAGUCGGGUGUGAAACCUCCAGGCUCAACCUGGAGACGCCACUCGAUACUGCUAUGGCUAGAGUCCGGUAGGGGACCACGGAAUUCCUGGUGUAGCGGUGAAAUGCGCAGAUAUCAGGAGGAACACCGAUGGCGAAGGCAGCUCGCUGGGACGGUACUGACGCUGAGGCGCGAAAGCGUGGGGAGCGAACAGG
rnacentral:rRNA from 1 species